rnacentral:lncRNA from 1 species
AUGACAGUCCUUAGAGACUCCUCUGCUUGUUUGGACUUCUUCUCAUCCUUAAAUUUGGUAGCAAGAAAUGAAGAAGAAGAGAAAUUCUUUGCUUGAGACAUUGAUUUAGCACGGUUUUUAAGGUGUUGUUGAGCUUGUCUUAAAGCAUAGUUCCACCUACAGAUACCAGCUUGAUCUUUCAAAGCUUCCACAACUCCAACACUUGCAGCCACCAUCCAGGCUUUGCUUGUUGCUGUUGCACGAUUCAUGAUUUUUGGUUGUUAGUUUUUGGAUUGGAUAUCAAAAUAUAGAAGAAGUAGAUAGU